ensembl:lncRNA
AUUUUUCUCUGAGUCUGACAAAAAAAAUCGUCCCUGAGUGGUCAUGUCUCUGCUUUCUUACAGAGAAUACAGGAAAGUCACAUAGAGACCAAAAGGCCUGAGAGAAGGAAAAGAAAGGAAAAUCCUCAGAAUGAACCUGGAAGAAAUCAGGGGCAGCAAGAGGAUGAGAUGGAGACCCCGCUAGAACCAGAGAGCCUCCUUCUUCCCUCUGAACUCCUAUCUUCAAUGCCCGGGGUGCUGCCUCCCAGAUCCACCUCUUUGGAUAGCGAUUGAUUGGAAUGCCUGGACACUGUGCCAGAAUCCACAAGCUGGUAAUUGGCGACAAAGAAACCAAAGGCCUGGAUCACAGCGUGGUUCUCUCUGAAUCUGGGCGGAAGCCUUGUCUAGCUUCUUCUGCAUCAUUGAAUCACCUUGAGCCUAUGCUCAAACCUGGAUCACAGAAGCCUGCAGGAUUUCCUUCAGCCAUGGAGAAAUGACCUGUCAGCAGCAGCAACAUGAAGUCCCCCUCCGUCCCCUCCCUGGGGCCUGGAUCCCUGUCCUCCAGCCCCUGGUCAACAGAAGUGUAACCCUCUCCGGCAUCUCCUAUGCCAAUAGCAAUGUCCAUCACCCUCCUCUUCCUGGAUAUGUGGUGGCUGGAUUCCCCUCUCAUCACAGAUUCACUUUCUUUUGAAAACCGGAACCACAGAUAUCUCAGAAGAGGCUUCUCCCUAACUCUAAUGAAACCUGAAACAUCUGCAAUAAACCAACCAGGGUCUCCUAUCUGCCACAUACACAACACAGGACACCUCUUCAAGGCUUGUGCUUCUGUAGUGAGCACCACUGCCAUGGGUGAGAUUCUGUACCCACAGUGACACUGGUCCCUAACAAUAUCUACCAUGGGAAGCUGAAAGAGAGUCCUAGGGAAAGAAAAACAAACAACAAAACCACACUACGUUGUCUUCAGAUUUCAUACAGGAUAAUGGGGGCUCUCCUAAAUGAGCUCACAGUUUGAGAAGCUAUCCCUGCCAAGUGCAACAAAGGAGUUAGUGAAGCCCUAACUCCCCUGCCCCACAGUCUUCCCUCCUUCCUCUUAGAGUCUUCCCAGAACCUUUUCUGUACCUGUAAUCCAAUCCCCAACAAUCAGACACAUGCCUAGUUUCUGUUCCUUGAAGAAACUCAACUCUUCUUCUGGUAUCAUCUCAACUAACACAUGCCCAUCAUGUCCAUGGGUGGGGAUGAACAACUAGGAAAUGCCAAUGGUGCAGGAAAAGGACUAAUGGCUUAUCCAAGAAAAGAGCAUCCAGGGAAAUGAAGAGAAACCCUGUGGAGCCCUCCAUUCUCCAAAUCCAACUAACCAUAUCCCACAAAAUACUCUCCUCUGUCUCAUCUCCAGAGAAAAGUGAACCUAAGAAGAGUAAGGGGGCCAGUAAUGGCUACACUGAGCAUGAUUGAAACAUUGGGGUUAGACACUGUAACACAGUGUUACACAGAGUAACACAGAGAAAACAAUAUUCCCUUUAAAUUGCAUUUGUCAUUCUAUGUAUCAGCUACCUACUAAAUGUAACUUUAUGUGAUCUCUGCUACAUACAGCUAUAAGAUAUUAAUACUGCAACCAAAACAUCAAAAAGCCACCCUCAUCUGAUAUUUGGACAUUCAUUCUAAGGAGUGGAAUUGCUGGAUCUUGUGAUAGACUGGAUUCCCAUUUUCUUGAGGAGUCUCCAUACUGAUUUCCAAAGUGGCUGUACAAGUUGGCACUCCCGCCUUUCCGCCGACCGAUCCACAACGAGAGGCAUAACUCCUUCAGAGUGAGGAGACUACCAGGAGAGGCAAGACCAUCCAGAGCUGCCGACAUUGAAUUCCUGCCCUACCCACACCACUGGGUCACAAGAGGAGAUAGAGAGACUCCACCUGCACCCACUGGAAGAAGAUAUGAGAGAAGACAGAAUAAGAACUCACUCAACAACAGAAAGACCAAUAUGACACCACCAGAAUCUAGGGACUCCACUCCAGCAAGAUCUGAAAAGCCCAACACAGAACAUGAAGAAGAGAUAGACCUCAAAAAUUAUCUCGGCAAGAUGACAGAGACCUUUAAAGAGGAAACAAGAAAAUCACUUAAAGAAAUAGAAGAAAAAGCAAGCAAAAAAUUUCACAAAAUGGAGGAAAAGACAAACCAAAAAACUCAAGAAAUAAACAAAUCUCUUAAAGAAUCUAAAGAAACCCAAGAAAAAAACAACCCAACACGUGAAGGAAGCUCUUGAAACAGUUCAAAGCAUGAAAGCUAAAAUAAACACAAUAAAGAAAACACAGAAUGAAGUGAUGCUGGAAAUGGAAAGGCUGGAUCAGGAACUAAAGAUGUGAGUAUAACUAAUAGAAUUCAAGAGAUGGAAGAGAGAAUCUCAGCUACUGAAGACUCGCUAGAGGAUAUACAUUCAUCAACCAAAGAAAACCUCAAGUCCAACAAAUCCCUAACACAAAAUAUCCAGGAUAUAUGGAACACCCUGAAAAGACCAAACCUAAGAAUAAUAGGUAUAGAAGAAGGUAAAGAAACACUGCUCAAAGGUACAGAAAACAUAUUCAACAAAAUCAUAGAAGAAAACUUCCCCAACCUACAGAAGGAUAUGCCUAUGAAAGUACAAGAAGCUUACAGGACACCAAA